AGUGAACGCUGGCGGUAGGCCUAACACAUGCAAGUCGAACGGCAGCACAGUAAGAGCUUGCUCUUACGGGUGGCGAGUGGCGGACGGGUGAGGAAUACAUCGGAAUCUACUUUUUCGUGGGGGAUAACGUAGGGAAACUUACGCUAAUACCGCAUACGACCUACGGGUGAAAGCAGGGGAUCUUCGGACCUUGCGCGAUUGAAUGAGCCGAUGUCGGAUUAGCUAGUUGGCGGGGUAAAGGCCCACCAAGGCGACGAUCCGUAGCUGGUCUGAGAGGAUGGUCAGCCACACUGGAACUGAGACACGGUCCAGACUCCUACGGGAGGCAGCAGUGGGGAAUAUUGGACAAUGGGCGCAAGCCUGAUCCAGCCAUACCGCGUGGGUGAAGAAGGCCUUCGGGUUGUAAAGCCCUUUUGUUGGGAAAGAAAAGCAGCAGGUUAAUACCCCGCUGUUCUGACGGUAACCAAAGAAUAAGCACCGGCUAACUUCGUG
rnacentral:rRNA from 1 species